GACACUAUGGCCGAGUGGUUAAGGCGAGAGAUUCGAAUUGUGUGUUAUCUCUUGGGCUCUGCCCGCGCAGGUUCAAAUCCUGCUGGUGUCG
rfam:Neolentinus lepideus HHB14362 ss-1 unplaced genomic scaffold NEOLEscaffold_12, whole genome shotgun sequence.